GUCUCAUUUCACACUUGAGGGGCAAAAGGGUAAGGAACCCUAGCCGCCGCAAGCGAUUAUCAUCGCUCUACGUCUCCUCUUACCGGAAAUGAAAAAUUUUCAGGCGAGUCAAAGUUACCACAGGAUGGUGUGGCCAUUUCGUGCAAGAGCAAUUAAUGCUCUUGCCUUCUCUCACCAACCAAAGAGGUAAAAAAUUCAUUCCUCGCUUUCUUUUGCUUUUCUGCUCAGCCAAGGACCAAUUCCUUAAUGGAAUUUAUCUUGUUGCGAUUUUGAAUCCAUGAAUUUUAUUAGUUCGUGCGGAACUAAGUAGAUCGAUCCGUUAGGGUUCAAAUUUGACCCUUGGUAUAUUAUCUACUUUAAAUCGUAUUCGUUGAAUGUUGUAUUGAGGGUUUUGACACAGUCCCACAUCGGGGAACUAGGGUUUCUCAUGAAUUUGGGGGUUCUAUAUAAAGAGCCCCAAUCCAAUAAAUUUACAGACAGAAUAUCAUACAUAUUCACGCAUAUACUCGAAAUACCUAAAUUUAUAAGCAAUUUGCUUUUAGAUUUUAAGGGUUCGAGUUUAGUCAAAUUUUAAAGUUUAUUUUCUGUUCUUGUGUGGGUUUUGGUGGCUGUUUGAGCAAUUUGGGGUUGAGGAAAGGAGGCCUAGAAGUCUUCCAAGUCCAAAUCUUGAUUCAAAGGCUGUACAUAAGAAAGGUAAUUCCCCUUUCCUUUUUUUUUUUUUUGCAUUUUUGUUCUGUUUCUUUUAGUUAUUUGUGGUUGAUUAUGUUUUAGCUUAUGUUAUUAGUCUUAAAUUUUAUUAAGUAUAUGUUUGGUUCCAUUUCUACCUAUUGCUUUCUUGGGCAUUUGUUGUAUUCCUACUAUGAUCCUGUUAGUACAUUUGUCGUAGUGUUAUAAAGUGGUGCUAUAAAUGGUUUAAAUGUAGUAGAGUUAAAUGUCUUAGCCUGCCUUGAAUCAUGUCAUUUGUCUUGAUAGUUUGAUCAUGUCCAAAAUGCUUACCCCCCUGUAUCAUAAUGUUUUAUGUGUUUGGUCUGAAUCUCAUUUGGUUUAAAUCUAACAAGGACCAAUACCAUGCUUGUCUGUGAUAUGUGAUGGUAGGUAGUUGCGUUAAUGCUAUUAGUCUCAAGUUGAGGGUAUAAGGUAAUCAAGUUUAGUUUAUGGUCUUAUUGAGUAGUCCACUCUAAUAGGUCUGAUUAUGGGUUCAGUUUGUUAACGAUGUGAUUAGCAUGUCUUAAUUUUGGUGUAUGUUACAUGUUUAGUUUAGUAUUAUAUAUCAUGCUUAGUCUUGUUAAGUUCAAAACACCUGCUGUAUAGUUUAAUGGUAUUGAGGUACAGUCUGUGGUAGUUACUUAUGCAUGAUUCAUGAUUUUGUUGCUUAAAUCACCUGAGUCUGGCCAUAUGUUUAGUUAAUUUGGUGAGACUAAUGAGUUAAAAUCAACAUGUGUAUGGCCCUAUUUGCAUUUGUAUGAGCUCAUGUAAAGUAUGGAAGAGCAUAUUGUUUCUUUUCCCUCAUUAGCAUACUGUCCAUUAGGAAUUUGUUUAAUUGUGUAAGUGAUUAGUUUGAUGUAAAUUGUGCUAGCUUGGACAUCCUGUUUAGUCAGAAUUGCUCAAAAUGCUUAUGUAGCAUGUUUGAUGCUUGACCUGAUCCAUACUUGACUUGUAAGUGACUGUUUGGUAUUUGGUAGCAUAAAGUCAUGUCUAAGCAUGUAUAUUGUCUGGUUUUCCCUUGUAUAUUACCCCUCCUCUCUGAUUCUGUUUGACUGAGUCCAAAUGGAACUCCAAAGGUUAAAGGUCUUGAUGUGUUUUCUUCUUGUUUUCCAUUCUGUGUGAUUGACUUUCUUCAUGAAUAUACCUAGAUAUGCAAGAUAUACCCAGUCCUAUAUACACAGGUGUAUAAGAAGUAGUAUAUUUAGUAUAUAAUUGGUGUAUCCCUUAUGUGGGUCUAUAAGUGUUGAUGGGUUGUUGCUAUUUGCUUAAAUUUUGGGCCUCUUUCCCUUAUAUCUUGUUAUUGGACCAUGGUUUUCCUAUAUUGUCAUGUUUGGGCCAGCCUAUCUAAUUCAACUUAAAAAUAACUCAUCUGGGCCUUGAACUCUCCUCAUCGUUAUCUGAUUUGGGCUUGAGUUUCUUCUAAAAAAUGUUCUACUUCCUCUUUGUCAUAUAUCUAUUUGAUUUGUAUAUUUAUCUUGCUUAAGUAUGAACUAUCUAUGCCUUAGUUUAAAUACAUAGACACGUCCUAAUCAUUAUCCUUUUAUGUGUUUCAUGUAAAAUUCAAUCCUGGGCCACUCGGGCCCCUCUACUUGCAUUAAUCCUUGUUGGGCCAGAGGCCCAACAUCAUUUCUUGAUCGAGUCUGAAGAAGGAAAGGCAGGCUAAUAUGUUGAAGGCCCAGCCAUGGGUGAAAAUGGCACUGAUGGGCUUGGGUGGGCCCAUAAGUUAAAUCCACUCUGUAACACCUCGUACCUUAAACUAGGCUACGUUCAUGAUUCGAGACUAAGAAACCAAGACGGAGUAUGUUGGGAUGGAAAUUCCCUUUGAACCGGUGACUGUACGAGUUGCAAAAAUUGUACGGGCCCUACAAUGGUGGGCGUACAUCGAGGGUAAUUGACAGAGAGCAGUGAGAGUUUACAACCUAAGUACGGGCAGCAAAGUACUCUUCCCUUUAACUUUACAUUACAUAUUUAUUUGCAUUGUGUACUUGACAAGUAUGUAAAAUAGUGAAACCCUUAUGCGUGUUAGAACGUAGGAAAAACGUAGUAUUUUAGGAAGGUCGCCUAAGAUAUUUUUAAACUUGACCAUUUCUUAUUUAGUAUGAACUGAUUUCUUAAAACUAAAUCAGUAGGUUUCUAAAACCGUAUCCAAAUUGCUAAUAUUGUUAGGGCCUGUUUGGAAAGCCACCCAUGUAAUUGGAAUUGGGUGUAAUUGAGUGUAAUUACACUGUCUGGCAUGUUUGUCAAGCCAGGUAAUUACAUUCUUAAAAGGGAAUUGAGUGUAAUUGGAGGGGUGUAAUUACACUCUCCAAUUCUCAAGGGGGGGGUUGAGAAUUGGGUGUAAUUACACCAUGUAAUUACAUGCCUAACUUUUCAGAUAUCUUUUUCCUGUCAUUAUUUCAUCUGGAAAACAAAAGGACAUAUCUUCUCUUUCCACCAAGUAGCAACGCUGCUCUUCACUUCAACCCCCAGGUAAGAUCUUUUCUUUCCCCUUUUUUAUUUCAUAUAUUUGAUUUCUUGGUAGCUAAUUUAUGUAUCUAAUCUUUGUAUUUUCUCCUAUAUGUUGUUCCUGAAGAAUAGAAUUCAAGAACUAAAAUUUUCUCUAAUUUCUGAUAAUAAUAUAAGAAAUAAUUUUUUAAAAUAUUAAAAUUUAUUUACCUAAGCCUAGUCUCAAGUAGAUUAUUAUUUGAUAAAAAAUAUGUUGAUGAGAUAUCUCAGUACGAUCUAUGUACAUUUUUUUUUUUAAGCAUAGGUAUGCUCUACAGACAUUCUUUAGCUCUAAAAUUAGCAAGAUCCUCACUGUUCUUAUGAUGCUAUAUGACGUUGGAUGAUAUUAGGGGAAAACUUGAUUUAGUUUUAAUUGACUACAAUGAGGUGAGCUUUCGGUUGAAUGGAAUUCUUUGUAUUUUAAAUUAUUAGCUUCUAUACUGUGAGUCUUCAUGGUGCAAAUGUCAAAUAGGUUAAGCUAGAGUACAAAAGGGGAACUUGUUUAAAUAUUGUCUGUAUUUGAGCAAUGGGUAACAAAUAAAUUAGGUAACUUUCCUUUAUAAUUUCAUUUAUGUAGGAUGACAACUAGCCAACCACCUAAGGUUCGAAAACCAUACACCAAAUGGAGUGAAGUUCAAGACGAACAUUUCAUUUAUUUUAUUUCUGAAUAAGUUAAGUUGGGAAGAACGCAACAAGGAGGAUUAACGACCGAAGGAUGGGAUGGUAUAGAAAGAGAAAUGAAUAAGCUGUACGGGGACAAGUUAGAUAAGACUAAAAUGAAAAAUAGGAUGAGGACAUUGAAGAAAACAUAUGCUACUAUGAAGAGAAUGAUACAACAUAGUGGAUUUGGGUGGAAUGAGGAAACUCGAAAAGUUGAUGCUGAAGAUGAUGUCUGGGAGCAGUACCUUGCAGCUCACCCAAAAGAUUCUCAAUAUAAAACGAAGAAGCUGCCAGAUUAUAGUACUUUGGCUUUGAUUUUUGGAGAUACCGUUGCUGAUGGUAGGAAUGGGUGUGAAAUUAAUGAUGCUGAGGAUUUUCAAAAUGAGUUUUCCGAUGAUGAUAUAACUGCUGAAAAAGUUACUACACCUGCUUCUGAAGAUGUACAAUUUGUGGACAAUGACCAUGGAUGUUUUGAUCAGAAUAUAAACUUUACGAGUAAUGAAGUAACUCAAUCAUCUAAUCAAGAUAAGAGAGCAGGACAACGACAUUUAGCUGAGCAACCAACUUUGACAUCACGUCCAAAAAGAAUUAGAAACUCUAUUGGAAGCAGCUUGGCUAAAUCUGUUGAUAGAUGGACAUCAAUAGCUGAGGAACAAAUAAGGCUACAACAUGAACCAAAAAACACGUCUGCGGAGAAAUUAAUGCCUUUGAUAUUGGAACUAGGCUUGUGUGAUGAAUGGAAUAUACAAAUUAUUGACCUCCUAAUAAAUGAGAGAAAUGCUGAAUUCUUUGCUGCUAUGGCUCCAGAACUUCGGAAGAAAUGGGCCAUGAGCAAACUUGCUUUAUUUGAGUGAUGUCGUUAAAAGCAUGUUUUGUUGUUUGAGCAAUGUUAUGGGCUAGUAUCUUGUUCUCUUUUGGAUUAUAUAUUCCUAGAGUUUUGCUGGAAACUUAUCAUAUGUUUUGUUGAAGUUUGACAUGAAAAUAUUAUGUUAUCUCUUUUUUGUUUUGAAUUUCUGCUACAUUUUGUUCCAAGUUGACAUUAUAAGAGUAUUAUGCUUUUUCUUAUGCCAUUACAGUUGGAAAAUUAAUUCUUUUCUAUGUCAAAUAGGAUGGCAAAUGAAGAUCAAUUCAUGAUGUUUCUUGCAAAAUGUGUACUUUUAGUUAGCAUUAUUGGAAAAUAUUUAGGUGUUGGACCAAAAGAAAGAGUACACCGAUCAAUUUUAACUGGAGCAGAUUUUAUUAAAGAUUUGACUGAAGGACAUCCUCGUGGAUGUUAUGACCUACUACGUAUGAGUGUUGGAUGUUUCUUACAACUUGUAGAUGAGAUGAAAACAAGAGGUCUAUUAACUGAUUCAAGAACCGUUAGAGUUGAGGAACAGUUGGCAAUAUUUGUAUUUACGUUUGCUCAUAAUGAGAGGAAUAGAGUUGUGCAAAAUCGUUUUCAACAUUCAGGAGAAACAAUUAGUCGGUAUUUUAAAUAGUGCUUGAAAGCUUGUCUACGUUUAGGAAAACACUAUGUCAAGCAGGCAGGAAGAAGUAUCCCGCAAGAAAUAUCCUCUAAUCCACUUUUCUAUCCUUGGUUCAAGGAUUGUAUUGGAGCUAUAGAUGGAACUCACAUUCCUGCAUUAAUUCCCGUGGAAGAGCAACCAAGAUAUAGAAAUCGUAAAGGAGUUCUUUCUCAAAAUGUCCUUGCUGUGGUAGAUUUUGAUAUGAACUUUCAAUACGUGCUUGCUGGUUGGGAAGGCUCUGCUUCAGAUUCUAGAGUUUUAAGAAAUGCUGUUUGGGAGAGAUCAGAAAAUAAGUUGAAAAUUCAAAAUGGUAAUUUAGCAUUAAUUCAGACAUCCAUUAUUUAUUUACUUAAGUUGGUGCUUGUAAUUUUGUAGGAAGAUAUUACAUAGUUGAUGCAGGCUAUGCAAAUACAAAGGGAUUUCUAGCACCUUAUCGUGGUGUACGAUAUCAUUUGAGAGAAUGGAGCCAAACACAAGCACCACAAAAUGCUCGUGAACUCUUUAACUUGAGACAUUCAAAGCUUCGAAAUGUCGUGGAGAGGACAUUUGCUGUUUUGAAAAAAAGAUUCCCUACAUUAACGACUCCUCCUCCAUAUUCCAUCAAAAAACAAGGUUGGAUUGUGCUAUCAUGUUGUAUACUUCAUAAUUUCAUUCGUAAGUGGAACUGGGACGAUUCAUAUUUUGAAGAACACGUGGAAGAGGAAAUAGAAGAUUCCCACAAUUUGGAUGAUAUUGAUUCAGAUUCAGAUGAAGAAGAACUUGGACGAGGACCGACAGAUGUUGACAAACAAUAUAUGUGCAAUCUAAGAGAUAGGAUAGCUCAACAGAUAUGGAAUGCUAGAGCAAUAAGGUAGAAUAGCAUAUGUUGAAAUGGACAGAGUAGGUCAUUGUCACUUGAAGCAAGGUUAUAGCCACCAGUCUAUUUUGUAAAAUAGGUAGAUGUAAGAGGUAGAGUAAUUAAAGGCUGCAAGGUUUAUCAGUGUAAAACUUCAUUGUAUAUCCUUUUUUCUUCUUCCUUCUGUUUUGUUUUUUGCUGAUAAAAGCUACUGGUGCAUAAGUAUCUUGAUAUUAAUAGAAGGGUGGAUUUGCAGUGAAA